rnacentral:rRNA from 1 species
GAUGAACGCUGGCGGCGUGCCUAAUACAUGCAAGUCGAGCGAACGGACGAGAAGCUUGCUUCUCUGAUGCUAGCGGCGGACGGGUGAGUAACACGUGGAUAACCUACCUAUAAGACUGGGAUAACUUCGGGAAACCGGAGCUAAUACCGGAUAAUAUUUUGAACCGCAUGGUUCAAAAGUGAAAGACGGUCUUGCUGUCACUUAUAGAUGGAUCCGCGCUGCAUUAGCUAGUUGGUAAGGUAACGGCUUACCAAGGCAACGAUGCAUAGCCGACCUGAGAGGGUGAUCGGCCACACUGGAACUGAGACACGGUCCAGACUCCUACGGGAGGCAGCAGUAGGGAAUCUUCCGCAAUGGGCGAAAGCCUGACGGAGCAACGCCGCGUGGGUGAUGAAGGUCUUCGGAUCGUAAAACUCUGUUAUUAGGGAAGAACAUAUGUGUAAGUAACUGUGCACAUCUUGACGGUAACUAAUCAGAAAGCCACGGCUAACUACGUG